AACGAACGCUGGCGGCAUGCCUAACACAUGCAAGUCGAACGAGACCUUCGGGUCUAGUGGCGCACGGGUGCGUAACGCGUGGGAACCUGCCCUUAGGUUCGGAAUAACUCCCCGAAAGGGGUGCUAAUACCGGAUAAUGUCUUCGGACCAAAGAUUUAUCGCCUUUGGAUGGGCCCGCGUUGGAUUAGCUAGUUGGUAGGGUAAAAGCCUACCAAGGCGACGAUCCAUAGCUGGUCUGAGAGGAUGAUCAGCCACACUGGGACUGAGACACGGCCCAGACUCCUACGGGAGGCAGCAGUGGGGAAUAUUGGACCAUGGGCGAAAGCAUGAUCCAGCAAUGCCGCGUGAGUGAUGAAGGCCUUAGGGUUGUAAAGCUCUUUUACCCGGGAUGAUAAUGACAGUACCGGGAGAAUAAGCUCCGGCUAACUCCGUG
rnacentral:rRNA from 1 species